AGUUUUCGCAGUGUCGGCCGAGAUUAAAUCAUCUGAUCUAGAUUCUGAUUGCAAGCUCAUCUGAAUAUUAUCUUGUUAAAAACAAUGAGAAAAUCGGAUACACAUGGCAGGUAUGACAUCGCAACUAUGACAUUUGAUUAAUCCUCACAUCGCAUUCGCUGUAUUCAUCGAUCGAUUUCCCCGAAUCGGAGUUUUCGAAAAGGCGUAAAAAGCAUUGGCAGACACUCAGCUUUAUCUGCAUUAAAUUCGCACUCUUUAUUUUUGCGCAACCCAACCUCAACUUGACUUUCUUUGUUCGUUCGUAACCGUAACUGAUGGGCGCAGGUAUCAGGUGCUCAUAACAAACCAGGCGAUUCGCAUAAAUGUCAGAGUCAUCGACCAACGUUUCGAACACAAUCUCCACCAAAAGACAUAGUAAGAUGAGUCUUUAAAAACAUCAAGCUCCCGAUCCUAUCAAAAAAUUUAAAAUAGCUUCAACUAGCUUCAAACGCUUAGGUAAAUGACCGUCUUCUGACGAGCCGCGCAAGUCGAACACACUCGCGGCAAAACUCGCGAGUCGUGGUUAAUCCAAAUUCCAAAGAUAAGGUCAUCUCGCGAGCAGUCGAGGAACUAGCAGCGAGUUCGUAUCAUUAUUUUCGUCGCCAUCACAGCGACGAGAUCGCGAUUUUCUCCUGCGUGGUGGUCAUCCGCGCGCUCCAUUAAUUUCAUCCUUUCGUCGAGUCCUCGGCGACCGGAGGAGGCUCUCUCUUGGACAGAGCCUGCCGAACCCUCCCCCAGGUGAUAAUAUCAGCGAGUCGCUGAGUCCACAAGAAAAGCUGUGCAACCGCAGCUCUCGACAACGUUCUUCGACGCAACCUUGCGCGCCUGCCUGUGUCUGCGUGUGUGCGUAAGACAGCUCUCAUAUUUCUACUAUACCUAUUACUUGUACUAGCUCGCACUCGAUAUCAGAGCCUGCAAACAGCGAAUAUUCGCGAGUGUCUACUUAGCCACGCAGAGGCAGCUCCAACUCGGCGCUCCUUCUGUCCUCGUGUUCGUCGCGCGGCCGCGAUAUACACAGAGCAGCCGACAAAUCGAAGGUCUUUUGCUUCGAAACUUUUUGGCACUGUCGAUGAACAUGGCUUAUUGAAGAAGAUGAAGGGUCUGCAGCAAGUUUACGUUUCUCCAUACGGAGGGGACCACCUCGUCGACUUUGACUACUGCGGUUGCUCCGGCGCCGCCGCUGUUACCGCGCGCCUCGUUGCUGCUUCCAUUGCAGCUGAUAUUUUAGCCAGUGAAAACGGCCGAGGAAUCAGACAAGAAUAUUUUAGUGUUAAUAAUGGAAAAGAAAGCCAAGUAUCAGCAGCCCAACCAAGCCAAGGGCUCUGCUACUGAUGCGAAGAAGAAUCAAGAUGUCACUAGUUCUAAAAGCUUUCCAAAAUCAUCGCGAAGGCGUGAACCAUCUGGUGCAAAUGGUUUCCCCAAAAAUGAUCAGCCUAGAAAGUCCAAUGCACAGAAAAUUAAAAACUUUGAUAAGAGACCAAAACCUAAAGGACAUUAUCAUGGCGGUUCAAAGGAGGAUUCCAAGGUAGUGGAAGAUGAAUCAGCUGAGCUUGGCUCAGUAAUGGUCCAAGGAAGUAAAAAGCAGAACUUGAAUCAUCUGCUAAAUUUUCAUUACGCUCCGCGUGAUGUACAAGGUGGAUGGAGCCAUGGAAGGGCAAGUGGCUACAAUAGUCACCAUUACAAUCGCUGGCUUCCAGCUGUUCAGCGACACAAGUAUAAUAAAGAACAAUUUUUACAAGCAAACUGCCAAUUUGUUGUUACUGCCAAGGGAGAUUAUUCUCUUUAUUUAAAUGAUCCUGACAUCUUGGUUGACUGGAAAUUGAUACAGCAAAUUCGAGUUCAUAGUUCCGACAAUCUAUCUUGUCCCAUUUGUUUGUGCCCUCCUGUUGCUGGAAAAAUGACACGAUGUGGUCAUGUUUAUUGCUGGCCAUGUAUUCUUCAUUAUUUAGCACUCAGUGAUAAAAGCUGGCGCAAGUGUCCAAUUUGUUAUGAAUCUAUACAUAAAUCUGAUUUAAAAAGUGUUGUUGAAAUUACUGAAAAUGCUUUAAAUAUUGGCGAUAAUAUUUCUCUUCGGCUGAUGCGUCGAGAGAAAGGAACAUUAAUUGCAGUGCCAGUUAAUGAUAUUGAAUCUGCCCCUCCAUCAACAUUUUUAUCUGUUUCCGAAAAUUCUUGCCAACAAGUAUAUUCAAAGUUACUUUUAGCUCAGAAUGCCGACAUUAUGGAUAUUAUAGAAUCUGAACGGGUUCAAUUAAAACUCGAAUUACUGGAAGAUCCUCAUUCACCAGAAAAUUGUUUUAUAGAACAAGCUCUCAGUGAAUUAUUGAUUAGAGAACAGCUUAUAAUAGAUGGAACUCCAUCAAUAGAAACCGAAGAACUACAAACUUCUCAAAAUGACGAAAACAUCGAAUCACAGAAUCGUGAAGACGUUUCAUCUAUAAAUAACAAUGUUAACACGAAAAUCAAAGAAAGUCUCCAAUUACUGGAUAACGAUAUUUGCAGUACAAACGAUCAGUCGUAUAAUGAUUUAAAUCUAAGUAAUAGUGACGCAGAUAUUUCAACAAAUUCACAGAAAUUUUAUUAUUAUUAUCAAGCUGAUGGAGGGCAAAACGUCUAUCUUCAUGCAAUGAACGUAAAAAUGUUAGAGAUGCAAUACGGCAGCUUAGAAAGGAGUCCUCGUGUGAUCUCUGGUAAAUUAAUAGAGAAAGAAGUCGGCAGCUUUACUGAAGAUUUAAGACGUCGUAUGAGAUAUCUCUGUCACUUACCAGUCACUAGCCAAUUCGAAAUCGCAGAAAUAGAUCUUCUUCCACCACUUAUCUCAAAAGAAGUUUUGUCAUCUUUUGAAGAUCAAAUCGCUUCCCGUCAAAGAAAAAGAAAUCGUCGUGAAAGAGAGGAACGAAAACGCGAAAAGAAAAUAACAGAAGAAGAGAAUAAACGCAUGGGAAAAUAUCCAACGCCAAAAGUUCAUAUUGAAUCGCGCAAACAUUUUCCCCAGUUUCAACCUGAAUUUGCUGAAUUUAAUGUACCAUCACCUCCGGAGUCCGUUGUCGCUUCAAGUGUGGCAAGUAGCCCAACAGCCAGUUCCUUUGACGACUUUUUAUCAGCAGCAGGAGCUGACAUCAAUAAUUGGGCAGCAUCAGCUAAUCAUGGUCCAUCUUUUGCUCAAAUGCUACAAACUAAUGGAUCAAGAACUGUUGCAUGGCCAUCAUUGAGCACCUCUAAAAGAGCGGAACCUAAUAAUCCACCUGCUGCAAGGAUCCAACAGCAUGAGAAUAUUGAUCCAGAAAUGGAAGAGUACCUUGCACCUUCUUACAGUCAAAGUUUAGGGGAUGCUUUAGCACAAGUUUUGGAGAAAACGGAAUUACUGAAUCAAGAAGGCAGGUCGACUGAUAAUUUAACAACUAGUAGCAAGAAAAAGAAGAAAAAAAAUAAAGCGACUGUUUUAUUUGCAACUAAUAUGGCUCGAGCGUCUUAGUUUCGGUAUAAAAAUUGUUUGAAUUAUUGAUUCUGUUUCUGCUUUUUACUUAUUAGAAAGGGUAUCUUCGCUACCUAUAUUAUUAAAAAUAAUAUAAAACAUAUUGAAUGGACGCCAACUAUGUUGAAUUAUAAUUGUUACGCGAUUGAUAUUCAUAGGCUACUAUUUAUGUACAUUUAUUCAAAUUAUUUUUGUUAACUAAAUUUUAGUUGCUAAGUGGCAAAUAAAGAUGGAUAAUGAGCAAGACAAAAAUUGUAAGUGAAAUUGCAUAUUUUAAAUUUCGAUAGUUUUAAAAUGUUAAAUUAUGCAAGGCAAGACAAUAAAAAGACAAGUAUAAGUUUUAACGGAGUUGUGUAUUUUUUUUUUUUUUAAUGCAAUAAAAAGUUGAACUUUGACAAAUCUUAAAACGUUACUUGUACUAUUACAUGUUUACGUGUCACUAGAAAAAAGAAUGAACAAAAAUAAAAAUAUAGAAC